rfam:Caenorhabditis brenneri strain PB2801 C_brenneri-6.0.1_Cont198.6, whole genome shotgun sequence.
GGCCUAGUGGAUACGGCACCGGACUCCGGAACCGGGCAUGGGGGUUCGAGUCCCCC